rfam:Nitrosomonas communis strain Nm2, complete genome.
GGAGGAAUCGACCCUCCGAUAUCGGCGUUCAGGUGCUGGUAUCAAACCACUUCAAGCGGCUGCUGUAAAAGGCGGUGGUCGUGAGCGUUGAAGAAAGUCAGAGGAUAAAAUCUGGCGAGG